GAUGAACGCUGGCGGCGUGCCUAAUACAUGCAAGUCGAGCGAACAGACGAGGAGCUUGCUCCUCUGACGUUAGCGGCGGACGGGUGAGUAACACGUGGAUAACCUACCUAUAAGACUGGGAUAACUUCGGGAAACCGGAGCUAAUACCGGAUAAUAUAUUGAACCGCAUGGUUCAAUAGUGAAAGACGGUUUUGCUGUCACUUAUAGAUGGAUCCGCGCCGCAUUAGCUAGUUGGUAAGGUAACGGCUUACCAAGGCAACGAUGCGUAGCCGACCUGAGAGGGUGAACGGCCACACUGGAACUGAGACACGGUCCAGACUCCUACGGGAGGCAGCAGUAGGGAAUCUUCCGCAAUGGGCGAAAGCCUGACGGAGCAACGCCGCGUGAGUGAUGAAGGUCUUCGGAUCGUAAAACUCUGUUAUUAGGGAAGAACAAAUGUGUAAGUAACGAUGAACGUCUUGACGGUACCUAAUCAGAAAGCCACGGCUAACUACGUG
rnacentral:rRNA from 1 species